GUAUAGAUGCAGUGACUGAGACUGGGAGAUGCAGUGACUGAAACCUGGUGUGUUCCAGAAAAAGGUCCUGAAACUACUGGUCGACAUCCGCCAUCGCCUGAAGGAAACCAGAAGGGGUCAUGAAAUUUGGUUCCACACCCACUGAGGUGUAUGUACAUCAAGGUGAACCUCAAGCACGCGUCGCAAAGACUUAAAUUCACUUCGCCCUGAUGAGCCAAGCCUACAGGACUUGAAUUAAGAGUUUUAAAGGGAUAGUUCACUUUGAAAUUAUUUUUUGAAAUGUUUUGGCUUACAUCAAGGGCAU